rnacentral:rRNA from 1 species
UAAGGAAUAUUGGUCAAUGCCCGGAAGGGUGAACCAGCCAUCCCGCGUGAAGGAUGAAGGGGCUCUGCCUUGUAAACUUCUUUUGAAUGGGACGAAAAAGCCUCACUUGUGAGGAACUGACGGUACCAUUAGAAUAAGCACCGGCUAACUCCGUGCCAGCAGCCGCGGUAAUACGGAGGGUGCGAGCGUUAAUCGGAAUUACUGGGCGUAAAGCGCACGUAGGUGGCGACGUAAGUCGGGUGUGAAAGCCCCGGGCUCAACCUGGGAAUUGCAUUCGAGACUGCAUUGCUGGAGUACGGAAGAGGAGGGCGGAAUUCCCGGUGUAGCGGUGAAAUGCGUAGAUAUCGGGAGGAACAUCAGUGGCGAAGGCGGCCCUCUGGUCCAGUACUGACACUCAAGUGCGAAAGCGUGGGGAGCAAACAGGAUUAGAUACCCACGUAGUCCCUGAGCGGGCUGGCAAGGCGCAU